UACGAAGGGGGCUAGCGUUGCUCGGAAUUACUGGGCGUAAAGCGCACGUAGGCGGCUUUCUAAGUCGGGGGUGAAAUCCUGGAGCUCAACUCCAGAACUGCCUUCGAUACUGGAAAGCUCGAGUCCGGGAGAGGUGAGUGGAACUCCGAGUGUAGAGGUGAAAUUCGUAGAUAUUCGGAAGAACACCAGUGGCGAAGGCGGCUCACUGGCCCGGUACUGACGCUGAGGUGCGAAAGCGUGGGGAGCAAACAGG
rnacentral:rRNA from 1 species